GUAGACAAGGAUCCUUAUUCUGCUUAGGAUACUUUCUCUCUCCCAUGCAGGCAUCUUAAUCGUGAUGAUCUCCAUGAAGGCUCAGAGACAUCCUCCUCCUUUACUUUGUGUUUAAAAUUGUGACAUUAGCACCAUCUUUCUCUUCUUUCAUCUGAAAUUUAUUGACCUGGACAUUUCAGAAAGCUUCAGAAGAGUCUUGAGAACAAGCUUUCAGAGAUUCAGAAAUAGAUUGAAGAAAAGAGAGGCGGAGAUGCACUGGAACUGACACAACAGUUGCUGGACGGGGAUGGAGCAGUUUCACAGCCUACUCUGCAGCCAUGGCAUGAUCUUCUAGGCUGGUCGUGGGGCUGCAAACGCACAUUGGUUCACAGCCAGGCCUCUGAUGGUGGGCCACAGUUGGUGGCUGGGUCGACAGAGUAUGCACUGGGGAUGGUCUCCUAUCCAUGUUGUUCCAGCAGGGUUCAGUGCGGAAGGUCCCACAAGUGGUGGUCAUUCCCCGGGGUGGGAAUGACCUUGGUUACUCAAGGGCAAGGCCCUCAGUGGCAGGCAUGUGAGGACAUGCAGUUGAGGCCACGAUAGCCUCUGGUCGUCUGCUGUGGUCAGACAUGGAAGGGUCAUUCCCCUGGGUGGGAAUUGCCUUGGUUACUGAAGGGCAAGACAGGUGAGGACAUGCAGUUGAGGCCACAAUAGCCUCUGGUCGUCUGCUGUGGUCAGACAGGGAGGGCAAGGCCCUCAGUGGCAGGCAUGUGAGGACAUGCAGUUGAGGCCUCGGUAGCCUUGGGUCGUCUGCUGUGGUCAGACAUGGAGGGCAAGGCCCUCAGUGGCAGGCAUGUGAGGACAUGCAGUUGAGGCCUCGGUGGCCUUGGGUCGUCUGCUGUGGUCAGACAUGGAGGGCAAGGCCCUCAGUGGCAGGCAUGUGAGGACAUGCAGUUGAGGCCUCGGUAGCCUUGGGUUGUCUGCUGUUGUCAGACAUGGAGGGCAAGGCCCUCAGUGGCAGACAUGCUUGACAUGCAGUUCGGGAGGCAACAAUGCCAUCCUCCUGAUGGACCUGCAGAGGGGUCUGCAUAAGAUUCUUAUCGGGUGUGGGGUAAAGGGAGACUAAGCAGAGGCUUGUCCCCCUUUUGUGGCAAAGAAGUGCGUGAAAAGGUUUAAAGGGAAAGGGCAGCUAGGUGACACCUUUAGGCACCUUUGGGGGCGAUUGGCGGUCCGGGGGCCUGCAGCUCAGGCCUAUACGGCCCGGGGGGCAGAACACGGGCCGCCUUUGGGGCCAACGUGCCUCAUCCGCUCGGAGAUUCACGGCUCCGGGGGGCGGUGAUGCAGGUUGGACCCCCUACACAUCUUCAGGGUGUGGCUUGAGCUGGGGUCUGGCACAGGGCAGCCCCGGGCUCAGGCAAGGUUUGGUCGCCCUAUGGCUGCGAGCAGGCUUUGCCUGGAUCAUCAGAAUGCUGCCGCACUUGAUUUCCCCUCUGCAGGUUCAUUAUUCUAAUUGAUUCCGUUUAAUAAAGUGGCCCAUGA